rnacentral:rRNA from 1 species
GGUUUUUGGAUUUUAUCAAAAAUCAGGCCUGCUCAAUGAAUAAUAAAUAGCCGCGGUAUUAUGACCGUGCAAAGGUAGCAUAAUAAUUAGUCUUUUAAUUGAGGACUGGAAUGAAUGGUUUAACUAAAUAUUUUUGUCUUAUGUUUAUAUUUCUAAUUUUAUAUUUUAAUAAAAAAGUUAAAAUAAUUUUAGGGGACGAGAAGACCCUAUCAAGCUUUAUAAUUAUUUGUUUAUAUUUCAAAUUAAAUAAAAAAUUAUUUAACUGGGGCAGUGAAUGAUAGAAAAUAUUAUUUAUAUAUUGUAGAACUUUACUUAGAAAAAUCAAAAAUUUUUUAAAAAAUAAUAAGUUACUGUAGGGAUAACAGCAUAAUUUUUUUUAAGAGUUCUUAUCAUCAAAAAAGUUUGUGACCUCGAUGUUGGAUUAAGAUUCCUAAAUUGCGCAGCAGCAUUGAAUAGGAAGUCUGUUCGACUUUUAAAAUCUUCCA